UUAAUCUUUGUGCCUGCUUUCAACUUUGAACUGCCAAAUCCAUUAGCGAUCUCGCUCUUUCUACUGUUUGGAAAUCCACCUGGCGUUUCCUUUUCCCGCCGCAAUCUUAAUUUUGAGAUCAACUUGGUAUUCCGCCGCCACAGAUCUCACAAAAUGGUGGAAGAUGACUUCCUUUGUCUCUGACGGCAUCAAAGCUGUGUGAAGUGGCAGACCCACUCUUUCUCUCAAACUGCAUUACCUUCAUGAUUUAGAGUGUAUUGUUAGCUCACUACCUGUUUGAUGAAAUGUCUCAAUGGAUUCCUCAGGUAGAUGUUCUUAGUCUAAAUGGAAAUUUCUAACUUGAGAUG